rnacentral:tRNA from 1 species
AGCAGCGUGGCUUAGUGGAAAGAUCCUGGGCUUAGGAGUCAUAGGUUGUGGGUUCUAAUCCCACUUCUGCCA